rnacentral:rRNA from 1 species
ACAGAGGUCUCAAGCGUUGUUCGGAUUCAUUGGGCGUAAAGGGUGCGCAGGCGGUGUGGUAAGUCGGGUGUGAAAUUUAGAGGCUCAACCUCUAAACUGCAUCUGAUACUGCCAUGCUAGAGGACUGUAGAGGAGAUUGGAAUUCACGGUGUAGCAGUGAAAUGCGUAGAUAUCGUGAGGAAGACCAGUGGCGAAGGCGAAUCUCUGGGCAGUUCCUGACGCUCAUGCACGAAGGCUAGGGGAGCAAACGGG